rnacentral:lncRNA from 1 species
CAUUAAUAAUAUAAUAUUUUAUUAAAAAGUAAGAAAUAUAUUUAUCACUAAAAUAAAUAUUUUAUAUAAUAAUAAAAUAUAUAUUAUUUUAAAUAAUUAUAUAAUAAAUAAAAAUAUUAUUUUAAAAUGAUAUAUUUACUAAAUAAAAAAAUAUAUAUUUAUUAAAUAAAAAAGUAUCCUAUGCAUCGUGUGAGUGAUAUGCUAGUAGUAAUAAUAAUAAUAAUACAACACGGCAUUGAAG